CCGCAUAGGGGAGCCGGAGGGAAACCGAGUCUUAAUUGGGCGUUAAGUUGCAGGGUAUAGACCCGAAACCCGGUGAUCUAGCCAUGGGCAGGUUGAAGGUUGGGUAACACUAACUGGAGGACCGAACCGACUAAUGUUGAAAAAUUAGCGGAUGACCUGUGGCUGGGGGUGAAAGGCCAAUCAAACCGGGAGAUAGCUGGUUCUCCCCGAAAGCUAUUUAGGUAGCGCCUCGUGAAUUCAUCUCCGGGGGUAGAGCACUGUUUCGGCUAGGGGGCCAUCCCGGCUUACCAACCCGAUGCAAACUGCGAAUACCGGAGAAUGUUAUCACGGGAGACACACGGCGGGUGCUAACGUCCGUCGUGAAGAGGGAAACAACCCAGACCGCCAGCUAAGGUCCCAAAGUCAUGGUUAAGUGGGAAACGAUGUGGGAAGGCCCAGACAGCCAGGAUGUUGGCUUAGAAGCAGCCAUCAUUUAAAGAAAGCGUAAUAGCUCACUGGUCGAGUCGGCCUGCGCGGAAGAUGUAACGGGGCUAAACCAUGCAC
rnacentral:rRNA from 1 species